rnacentral:tRNA from 1 species
GCUCCGGUGGCGGAAUUGGUAGACGCACUAGGUUUAGGUCUUAGCGCCCAAAAGGUGUGAGAGUUCGAGUCUCUCCCGGAGCA